AGCCCUUGCUGGGAGGGAGCCUGGAUCACCCGUGCACAGCACGUCCCAUGGGUGAUGCUCAGAGAGGAGCUGGUGCAGAAGCCUGCGGUGCCACGAAGUCCUCGAGCCCCUCGGAGGGGCUCCGCCCUGGUGUUAUCUGCAGUCACUGCUGCUGCUGAGCAGCAGAAAGGAGAUGCUGCCUGGCUGGAUGCGAGCAAUUAAAGCGAGAAUUGGGAAGGUUGGAGCCUGCCUGGCUGGCCGCACGGCGUGGGCACGGUGGUGCAAGGAGUAUGGCCCCCGUGGCCGAGCCGUUCGCAUCCAUCCCCAGCACAAUGCAUCACCUUGCUCAAGAGAAGCUCCGGAGAGAAAUAUUGCUGAGCCCAUCCCGAAUCGUAAGUCUGCAGACUCCACCAGCCCGGCAGAGCGGCUGCUGCGGCCGGGGCAGGCGGCCAGGAGACAGCUCAGCAUCUCGGGGAGGGGGGAAAAGUGGGGUCAGCAUUCCCUGAAAAGAACUCCCUUUCUUUUUAAUGCCUUCAACCUUUUUUUUUUUCCAAAAUAAAAUAUACAUUAAAAAAAAAAAAAAAGAGCUGAGAAUGUGCUGGCGUUUAGCUUUGUAAUAAAACCUCAAAUUUCAUUAACA
rnacentral:lncRNA from 1 species